AGGGGGGGGCAUGCCUUACCAUGCAAGUCGAACGGUAACAGGGAGCUUGCUCCGCUGACGAGUGGCGAACGGGUGAGUAAUACAUCGGAACGUGUCCUGUAGUGGGGGAUAGCCCGGCGAAAGCCGGAUUAAUACCGCAUACGAUCUAAGGAUGAAAGCGGGGGAUCUUCGGACCUCGCGCUAUAGGGGCGGCCGAUGGCAGAUUAGCUAGUUGGUGGGGUAAAGGCCUACCAAGGCGACGAUCUGUAGCUGGUCUGAGAGGACGACCAGCCACACUGGGACUGAGACACGGCCCAGACUCCUACGGGAGGCAGCAGUGGGGAAUUUUGGACAAUGGGCGCAAGCCUGAUCCAGCAAUGCCGCGUGUGUGAAGAAGGCCUUCGGGUUGUAAAGCACUUUUGUUCGGGAAGAAAAGGCGAGGGCUAAUAUCCUUUGCUGAUGACGGUACCGGAAGAAUAAGCACCGGCUAACUACGUGCCAGCAGCCGCGGUAAUACGUAGGGUGCAAGCGUUAAUCGGAAUUACUGGGCGUAAAGCGUGCGCAGGCGGUUUGUUAAGACAGAUGUGAAAUCCCCGGGCUUAACCUGGGAACUGCAUUUGUGACUGGCAGGCUAGAGUGUGGCAGAGGGGGGUGGAAUUCCGCGUGUAGCAGUGAAAUGCGUAGAUAUGCGGAGGAACAUCGAUGGCGAAGGCAGCCCCCUGGGCCAACACUGACGCUCAUGCACGAAAGCGUGGGGAGCAAACAGGAUUAGAUACCCUGGUAGUCCACGCCCUAAACGAUGUCAACUAGUUGUUGGGGAUUCAUUUCCUUAGUAACGUAGCUAACGCGUGAAGUUGACCGCCUGGGGAGUACGGUCGCAAGAUUAAAACUCAAAGGAAUUGACGGGGACCCGCACAAGCGGUGGAUGAUGUGGAUUAAUUCGAUGCAACGCGAAAAACCUUACCUACCCUUGACAUGGUCGGAACCCUUGAGAGAUCAGGGGGUGCUCGAAAGAGAACC
rnacentral:rRNA from 1 species